rnacentral:lncRNA from 1 species
CCAACAAUUACAAUCUGUUCAAUAUAUAAUAUUGAGACAUGACUCAUUCCUGUUAAAGGAAAAGGCUAUAUUAACCUUAUUACAAUAAAAGAAAAGACAACAAUAAUCUUGAUCUCCAAACUAACUCUAUCGGCAUAAGAUCAUGAAGGUGUCCUUACAGUUUUAUGUGACAUUCUCUUUAUUUUCUUCCCUUCACCUUUGGGCGUCUUAUGUUAUGUCUAGGUUUUUCUCUGUUGUGGGAAUUAGGUGUGCGAAUAGUAAUCUUGUGGUUGUUUUCUUCCUUGAUUUCCUUGCUUUUCUUUAUUUGUCCUUACAACUGGAAAUGAGGAUGAAUCUGGUGAGUCGUCUUGUAUGCAUUUGUUUAUCUGCAAUCACGUUUUUAGUAUCAGUGAACUUAUAUUUGCUUAUAUUUACCCAGAAACUGAGUCUGAGGGAGGAUAUCUCGCUUGUUGCUGGAAAUAAUGGUUUAAUGGUUAUAAUUAAUAUAAAGAUAAAUUUUUAAAAGUAAUAUUUUUUUUU